rnacentral:sRNA from 1 species
CCCUAGCCCCGAUAGGAGUAAAAAUCCUUUUGUGCCGGGGUUCGACGCAAAAGAUUGGAACGGAUAGCGGGAAAAAGC